rnacentral:lncRNA from 1 species
AGAUCUGGAGUUGAUCUGAGGUCGUUUGAGGCACGGGUGAGAUCUCCAUCAACAGAUCUACAAAAAGGCUGCAGCAGGACAGAUCUGCGAGGUCUGUCUCCAUCUAUCUUCUUCCCUAUCUAGAAUACCCUGAUUCAAGAUCUACAAAUUGGAGGACCUCGGUUCAGGUCUUAUCUGGUUGGGUACCAAAUCUUAUAUUUUUUAGAGAUGGUUUCAAAGGUGUUCUUCAUCUGGAA